AGGAGAAUUGCAGAGUCAAAUGGUAACUGCAUGUUUAACUUUCUGAAGGACUGCCAGACUGUUUUCAAAAGUAGUUAUAUCAUUUUACAUCCCUGCAAGCAGU
rnacentral:pre_miRNA from 1 species